GGCUCAGAUUGAACGCUGGCGGCAGGCCUAACACAUGCAAGUCGAGCGGUAGAGRGAAGCUUGCUUCUCUUGAGAGCGGCGGACGGGUGAGUAAUGCCUAGGAAUCUGCCUGGUAGUGGGGGAUAACGUUCGGAAACGGACGCUAAUACCGCAUACGUCCUACGGGAGAAAGCAGGGGACCUUCGGGCCUUGCGCUAUCAGAUGAGCCUAGGUCGGAUUAGCUAGUUGGUGGGGUAAUGGCUCACCAAGGCGACGAUCCGUAACUGGUCUGAGAGGAUGAUCAGUCACACUGGAACUGAGACACGGUCCAGACUCCUACGGGAGGCAGCAGUGGGGAAUAUUGGACAAUGGGCGAAAGCCUGAUCCAGCCAUGCCGCGUGUGUGAAGAAGGUCUUCGGAUUGUAAA
rnacentral:rRNA from 1 species